rnacentral:lncRNA from 1 species
GUGACCAUCAUAAAUAAAAAAAAACAAAAAACAAAAAACAAAAAACAAACCCAUAAAUAUAGGGGCAGCCUGGGUGGCUCAGCGGUUUAGCGCCACCUUCAGCCCAGGGCAUGAUCCUGGGGAUCCAGGAUUGAGUUCUGCGUCGGGCUCCCUGUGUGGAGCCUGCUUCUCCCUCUGCCUCUCUCUCUCUCUCUCUCUCUGUGUCUCUUAUGAAUAAAUAAAUAAAAUCUUAAAAUAUAUAUAUAUAUAUAUAUUUUUUUUUUAUAGAGCCACACUAAAAAAUCCCUAGAAGUUCAAGAACACUCCUAUUAAAUAUGGAGUCAAGUUUCCUCCUAUAAUAGACCCCUCGCCCCCAGGGAUCAAGUCUUUAUCUGGGGUUAUCAGGUGUCCCAGUAUUAUCCAACUCAGCUCCUGUCUCACUGUGGGACCCCAGAGCCUUCCCUCUCAUUCCCUGGGCAACAGUUGGGUCAUCUGUGACAUGAGCCAUUGGACCAGCCGACAACUAAGACCACUUUCUGCUCUAAGUACCUAGAGGUACUAGAGCUUCUUCCUUGUUCUGGCCCCCCAGACCGCAGUCCAGUCGGACACUGACACGGGUUAGGACUGGUCCUGCUGGGGCUCACAUGCCUAAGGAGUGAGUGUCUGGUCCCGAGGAGGCAACAUGAUCUGUAAAGGAUCCCUAACCCUCUCCUUUUGAACCCUGAAGAGGGCAUCUCAGUCAUGUGAGGACCACAGGGACAUUAGCCCUGCCAAGAUGGGAGAUCAGGGUGCUGGCUACCUAGAAAGAUGGGAGAGAAGAAAGCAGGAGAGAGCGGCCUGAGAUCUCAAAGGGGAACUGAGCUAUGGAAAGGGCCCUGUAGGGGGUUUGCAAUGGGAAAGGUGCCCAGCCUGGCUCCUCUGGAGGGGGGUGGGACAUGCCACCUUCUGCCUAUAAUUUUCUCAGUGUAUGAACCAAGUUAAGGUGAGUUUUUGUGGGCCAGGCCAGAAACCCAGGAGAAGGGGAAGGAGAGGAGUGGUGGGCCUAGAGGAAAGAAGGAGGCAGAAGGAAAGGAGGAAUCAGGGCCCCUGACCUGGGAGCUAUGCAGGCAGAGGGAGGGUGUGUGCAGGGGGCUUUCUAUGAUGUCUUGCUCCUGAUAAGAGUCACUGUCAGGUGUCACAUACAGCCCCAGGCACAAGGACACCUGGCAUGAAGGGGGGAAAGCAUUAAAUUUGAGCCAGGUCAGGCUCGUAUUUCAGACCCUUCCACUCACUAGCUGUGUGGCCCUGGGAAGGUCUCUUGGCCUCUCUGAGCCACAGAUUCUAGAACCAAAGAACAGUUGUGUUUCAUCCUUCACAGUGGGCAAGCUGUGGAGAUCAGAUGUCAGUCCUACCCUAGACCCUCCCACUUCCCUUACUGGUCACCCUGCUUGUGCUACUUCUUCACCCAAGUAUGCUCCCGUCACAGGCCCUGGGACUGGCACUAUUCCUCAUCUCCCCCACCCCCCAGUGCCACGAAGCAUUCUGGGAGCGCCCCAACCCCUCUAAAGGGGUUUGAGCCAAUUGAAGGCCCCUUACUAGGGGACCAAAAGAGAGGCUGGGAGUGGGGGUGAAGAGUGGGGCAAGGACCUUCCCAUACCUGCUUCACCCCCAUAUCCCCUUCCCCCCACUCUCUGAUGGGCUGUCUGGGUCUCCCCUCCCCUUUCCCUAAGCUCAGGCCUUGCUUGUCUUCUCCACAACAAGAAGCGAAUGUUAUUUAAAAGGAGAUCAGGAGAUUUGCCUUAAAUAGGCAUGGAGUGCUGUGCCAGGGCCCAGGGUGAGGGGCGGGGGAGGAGGCCACCCUGGGUGGAGAGGGAAAAAAAGAAAGAGGAGAACCUCCUCAGGGGUGUGCAGAGCCUUCUAGUUUACCAAGCACAAUCCCAAGCUUCAGGGCAUCAGUCAGACAGGGCUUAUUCUCACCCUACCCCCAUUCUGAGGAUAAGGAAACUGAGACCCAGCUCAGGGGACUGAGGCACACUAGCUACCAGAUGCCAGAUGCUGUGGUCUUUCCAUAAUAGUCCCGGAGCUCGGAGGACUUCAGGAAGGCAUUGAGUCCAGAAGAUAGGGUCCCCUGUGGCAAGAAUUUUGGGGUUCCCCUGACACCUGCUCCAACUGUCAGUUCCCAGGCCUUUGGCUCCUGCCCCCAGGUGGCCCCUGCCUGCCCUCCCAGCCCCAGAAUGUAACUGGACGCCCUCCUCAUUCCACACCUUAACAGGUGAGCUGAGGCUCUGCUUACUGAACCCAACACCGGCAGGGGAGGAAGUGAGGGGGCAUUCCUGGCAAGGAGGGAGCCAAGCCAGAGGCAAGGAAGUAAGAGGAGUGGGAGGUGGGCUAGCAGUCAGCCCCCUCCCUGCAGGGCUCCUCUGGCACCUGGAGUUCUCUUCCCCAUUCCGGGUCUCCAGUCAAGCCCUUCCUCUUCCAUCUUGGUCCCUCCCAGCCGUUUCUGUCUCAGCAGGUGAUGCUCUUGGAAUCUUAAAGAAAUGGAGUCUGGAAUGUGAGGUUUCUGGGACAAAGCUAGGGGCUCAGAAGCACCCAUGCUAGCUCUUUUUUCAAAGGCUCUGAAUACCAAGGUGAAGUUUUAUGCCCAUCCUAGCUCUGCCAUUCACAGCUGUGACCGAGCUGCCCGCCUUCUGUGAGUCUGUCUCCUCCCUGAUAAUCUCAGUCUAAAGAUCCCACUCAGGGGUGCCUGGGUGGCUCAGCCGGUUAAGGUUAAGCGUCUGCAUUUAGCUCAGGUCAUGAUCCCAGGGUCCUGGGAUCCAGAGUCCUGGGAUUGAGCCCUGCCAUCAGGCUUCCUGCUUGGUGGAGAGUCUGCCCCCCUCUCCUUCUGUUCACCCCAACCCUCUCUCCCAUGUUCUCUCUUUCUCUCUGUCCCUUUCACAUAAACAAAAUCUUAAAAAAAAAAAAAAAAAA